rnacentral:ribozyme from 12 species
CAAUGAAAUAACGAUUUUGGAAAGGAAAAAAAAAAGAAUCGGAAAACUUCGCGCCACAUAUUCGCUACUUCGCAGCAGCUUUCGUCUCUUUCUUCUUCCCCUUGCCUUUCUUCUUC